rnacentral:snoRNA from 1 species
UAUGCCUUAUUGGUGUGGCUGCUGUAUCACAGAUAUUCAGAAGGUGGCAUAGAUGAGUAAGACUAUUUCUACUCUCAAUGUUCUGACCUAUGUACAUUUGAAUGAUUUAGUGGCCCAACAUU